rnacentral:lncRNA from 1 species
UUCUUCUCUGAUUGUAUCUUUUAUAUUCCAAGGAAUGUAUCAUGCCCAGUCUCUCCAGUUGGGAGUCCUCUUCUCCAUCCAAGGUCGCGUAAGCCCCUAAACGGGUGGAUCUCUCCCUCGUUGAUAGCUAGCUCCCAUACCCCAUCGGGUUCGUACACACCUCUCACCGGGUGUUUCCGUCCGAUUCCAUCACCUCAGUCAACCUAUAUUGGCGCAAGAGGGUUUUUGUUACUGGCCAAACCGCCUCCCAAGUUCUUGCAACAAUAGUCCUUCCUACUGGGUCCCAGACAUUCUCCAGAGGCUGCAGUCGGGUUCUCAAGCUUUCAGUGAUCUGAUGUCCUGCGAUAGUGAUGCUUUUGGAAAGCAGUUUGGUAGAGGGACCAACAAUGGAGAACUUUACGGACAGACAGUAUUGGCUGGUCUUUUGUCUCCACAACUCUUUUAAGGGAUCUGUGAAGUUGUAUCCAUCGCUCGAUCCUUCCUCUCCAUUGGCAAGCUACUGCAUCAAUGGAGCAUAACUCCAUUUAUUAUCACAGACAGCAUUCAGGGGAAGCUUGCCAAGUGGACAUUGUUUUCUUCUACAUCAGAGAUCGUUAUGAAUAAAAUCAUCACAUAAGAUGAGCUCCCAGAUGACGUCCGGAUGAAGAUUUCUACCAACGGUGUCCACAUAGCUCUGGUAGUGGCAUCACCUUGCUUUUACGACAAAGCAUUGAGUUUGAAUGUGGACAUCCUUGAUAAGAGGAAGAAUACAUCCAGCAAUUAGAAUAGUCUCUAGAUACUGUUAUUUCACUGUCUCUUCGAGUUCAAAUGAAAGGUUAAUUCUUGGGGAUGAUAGUUUGGAUUGUAUAGCUGAUUCUUAACUAAAUCGUUGGCCUUAAGAUGUAUAUUUAUAUUAUAAACAUCGAGGCAAAGCAAGAUUGAUCCACCACAAUAAGUAGCUGUAGAACUUCUGUGGCGUGUUCUAGUUUUUUUCCUUUGCAC